AGCAGAGGAUGAUGAGUUCAAGAACAAAGGGGGAGAUGUGAACAAAAGGGGAGAAGGUAUAAGAAUUUAGUGCUAAUCAUUUUUUGAAUGAAUUGUUUUGCAGGAAAUCAAGACUUCAAGACUCCUAGUAGCGUUUAAGUCAUAGAGUCUGUUUUAGGAGUUUUUGAUGUAAUUUUGAGUUUUAAAUUGUAUUUGGAUUACACGCGAGGGGUUCGAUGUUUUGGUGAUGACAUUGAACUUCGUUUUUUCAUUAAAUUGUAAUUUGUGAGUUUGUGUGUGUUUUGUCACGAAAUUGCCAAAGGGGGAGAUUGUUAGGUCCUAUGUGUUGGCAAGUUUCGUGGGUCGAGUCGGAGUCUUGAAGAAGUUCGGAGCGGAGUAUUGAAAAUCGAAGAAUCCAAGACUU
rnacentral:lncRNA from 1 species